rnacentral:rRNA from 1 species
UACGGAGGGGGCUAGCGUUGUUCGGAAUUACUGGGCGUAAAGCGCACGUAGGCGGCUUUGUAAGUUAGAGGUGAAAGCCUGGAGCUCAACUCCAGAACUGCCUUUAAGACUGCAUCGCUUGAAUCCAGGAGAGGUGAGUGGAAUUCCGAGUGUAGAGGUGAAAUUCGUAGAUAUUCGGAAGAAUACCAGUGGCGAAGGCGGCUCACUGGACUGGUAUUGACGCUGAGGUGGCGAAAGCGUGGGGAGCAAACAGG